rnacentral:rRNA from 1 species
CGAAAAGAGGGAAAGAGCUUGCUCUUUCCGGAAUUGAGUGGCAAACGGGUGAGUAACACGUAAACAACCUGCCUUCAGGAUGGGGACAACAGACGGAAACGACUGCUAAUACCGAAUAAGUUCCAAGAGCCGCAUGGCCCAUGGAAGAAAAGGUGGCCUCUACCUGUAAGCUAUCGCCUGAAGAGGGGUUUGCGUCUGAUUAGCUGGUUGGAGGGGUAACGGCCCACCAAGGCGACGAUCAGUAGCCGGUCUGAGAGGAUGAACGGCCACACUGGAACUGAGACACGGUCCAGACUCCUACGGGAGGCAGCAGUGGGGAACCUUCCGCAAUGGGCGAAAGCCUGACGGAGCAACGCCGCGUGAGUGAUGACGGCCUUCGGGUUGUAAAACUCUGUGAUCCGGGACGAAAAGGCAGAGUGCGAAGAACAAACUGCAUUGACGGUACCGGAAAAGCAAGCCACGGCUAACUACGUGCCAGCAGCCGCGGUAAUACGUAGGUGGCAAGCGUUGUCCGGAAUUAUUGGGCGUAAAGCGCGCGCAGGCGGCUUCCCAAGUCCCUCUUAAAAGUGCGGGGCUUAACCCCGUGAUGGGAAGGAAACUGGGAAGCUGGAGUAUCGGAGAGGAAAGUGGAAUUCCUAGUGUAGCGGUGAAAUGCGUAGAGAUUAGGAAGAACACCGGUGGCGAAGGCGACUUUCUGG